rnacentral:misc_RNA from 1 species
GAUGAAGAACGUAGUGAAAUGCGAUAACUAAUGUGAAUUGCAGAAUUCAGUGAAUCAUCGAGUCUUUGAACGCACAUUGCGCCCUCUGGUAUUCCGGAGGGCAUGCCUGUCCGAGCGUCAUUGCUGCCCUCAAGCACGGCUUGUGUGUUGGGCCUCCGUCCUCCUCCCGGGGGACGGGCCCGAAAGGCAGCGGCGGCACCGCGUCCGGUCCUCGAGCGUAUGGGGCUUCGUCACCCGCUCUUGUAGGCCCGGCCGGCGCUUGCCGACACAUCAAUCUUUUUUCCAGGUUGACCUCGGAUCAGGUAGGGAUACCCGCUGAACUUAAGCAUAUCAAUAAGCGGAGGA